GGAAAAAAUCCCUAGAAUUGGAGAUACAUAUAGGAAGAAACCUUGAGCAGAUCCACAACUCAAGGGCCUGGCCCAUCUGCCUAGGAUCAGUACAGAACAGUAAGGUCUGUAUACAUGAUAGAUGAAUAAGUUAGUUAGGUGUAGAGAGUAGAACAUGGUGUUUAAAGCCACCUGAGGUGUAUCCAGUCACAGAGAGCA